UCCUCCGUGGCGCAAUUGGCUAGCGCGUUCGACUGUUAGAAGUAGCAGGUUAUCGAGAGGUUGACAGUUCAAGCCUGUCCGGGGGAG